rnacentral:rRNA from 1 species
AUUGAACGCUGGCGGCAUGCCUUACACAUGCAAGUCGAACGGUAACAGGCCGCAAGGUGCUGACGAGUGGCGAACGGGUGAGUAAUGCAUCGGAACGUGCCCAGUCGUGGGGGAUAACUGCUCGAAAGAGCAGCUAGUACCGCAUACGACCGGAGGGUGAAAGCGGGGGACCGUAAGGCCUCGAGCCAGUGGAGCGGCCGAUGUCAGAUUAGCUAGUUGGUGGGGUAAAGGCCUACCAAGGCAACGAUCUGUAGUUGGUCUGAGAGGACGACCAGCCACACUGGGACUGAGACACGGCCCAGACUCCUACGGGAGGCAGCAGUGGGGAAUUUUGGACAAUGGGCGCAAGCCUGAUCCAGCAAUGCCGCGUGCAGGAAGAAGGCCUUCGGGUUGUAAACUGCUUUUGUCAGGGAAGAAAUCCUCUGGGUUAAUACCUCGGGGGGAUGACGGUACCUGAAGAAUAAGCACCGGCUAACUACGUGCCAGCCGCCGCGGUAACAC